UACGGAGGGGGCUAGCGUUGUUCGGAAUUACUGGGCGUAAAGCGCGCGUAGGCGGACCUGCAAGUCGGGGGUGAAAGCCCGAGGCUCAACCUCGGAACUGCCUUCGAUACUGCGGGUCUCGAGUCCGGGAGAGGUGAGUGGAAUUCCUAGUGUAGAGGUGAAAUUCGUAGAUAUUAGGAAGAACACCAGUGGCGAAGGCGACUCACUGGACAUGUAUUGACGCUGAGGUGCGAAAGCGUGGGGAGCAAACAGGG
rnacentral:rRNA from 1 species